UACAGAGGUCUCAAGCGUUGUUCGGAUUCAUUGGGCGUAAAGGGUGUGUAGGUGGCGCCGUAAGUCGGGUGUGAAAUCUCAGAGCUCAACUCUGAAACUGCACUCGAUACUGCUUUGCUCGAGGACUGGAGAGGAGAUUGGAAUUCACGGUGUAGCAGUGAAAUGCGUAGAUAUCGUGAGGAAGACCAGUGGCGAAGGCGGAUCUCUGGACAGUUCCUGACGCUGAGGCGCGAAGGCCAGGGGAGCAAACGGG
rnacentral:rRNA from 1 species